GAUGAACGCUGGCGGCGUGCCUAAUACAUGCAAGUCGAGCGAACGGACGAGAAGCUUGCUUUUCUGAUGUUAGCGGCGGACGGGUGAGUAACACGUGGAUAACCUACCUAUAAGACUGGGAUAACUUCGGGAAACCGGGGCUAAUACCGGAUAAUCUUUUGAACCGCAUGGUUCAAAAGUGAAAGACGGUCUUGCUGUCACUUAUAGAUGGAUCCGCGCUGCAUUAGCUAGUUGGUAAGGUAACGGCUUACCAAGGCAACGAUGCAUAGCCGACCUGAGAGGGUGAUCGGCCACACUGGAACUGAGACACGGUCCAGACUCCUACGGGAGGCAGCAGUAGGGAAUCUUCCGCAAUGGGCGAAAGCCUGACGGAGCAACGCCGCGUGAGUGAUGAAGGUCUUCGGAUCGUAAAACUCUGUUAUUAGGGAAGAACAUAUGUGUAAGUAACUGUGCACAUCUUGACGGUACCUAAUCAGAAAGCCACGGCUAACUACGUG
rnacentral:rRNA from 1 species